rnacentral:rRNA from 1 species
ACGCUGGCGGCGUGCCUAAUACAUGCAAGUAGAACGCUGAAGGAGGAGCUUGCUUCUCUGGAUGAGUUGCGAACGGGUGAGUAACGCGUAGGUAACCUGCCUGGUAGCGGGGGAUAACUAUUGGAAACGAUAGCUAAUACCGCAUAAGAGUAGAUGUUGCAUGACAUUCGCUUAAAAGGUGCAAUUGCAUCACUACCAGAUGGACCUGCGUUGUAUUAGCUAGUUGGUGGGGUAACGGCUCACCAAGGCGACGAUACAUAGCCGACCUGAGAGGGUGAUCGGCCACACUGGGACUGAGACACGGCCCAGACUCCUACGGGAGGCAGCAGUAGGGAAUCUUCGGCAAUGGACGGAAGUCUGACCGAGCAACGCCGCGUGAGUGAAGAAGGUUUUCGGAUCGUAAAGCUCUGUUGUAAGAGAAGAACGAGUGUGAGAGUGGAAAGUUCACACUGUGACGGUAUCUUACCAGAAAGGGACGGCUAACUACGUGCCAGCAGCCGCGGUAAUACGUAGGUCCCGAGCGUUGUCCGGAUUUAUUGGGCGUAAAGCGAGCGCAGGCGGUUAGAUAAGUCUGAAGUUAAAGGCUGUGGCUUAACCAUAGUACGCUUUGGAAACUGUUUAACUUGAGUGCAAGAGGGGAGAGUGGAAUUCCAUGUGUAGUGGUGAAAUGCGUAGAUAUAUGGAGGAACACCGGUGGCGAAAGCGGCUCUCUGGCUUGUAACUGACGCUGAGGCUCGAAAGCGUGGGGAGCAAACAGGAUUAGUUACCCUGGUAGUCCACGCCGUAAACGAUGAGUGCUAGGUGUUAGACCCUUUCCGGGGUUUAGUGCCGUAGCUAACGCAUUAAGCACUCCGCCUGGGGAGUACGACCGCAAGGUUGAAACUCAAAGGAAUUGACGGGGGCCCCGC